rnacentral:misc_RNA from 1 species
AGAGAAGAUAUGUAAAUAUAUUUGGAAUUGAAGGGAAUAGAUACAUUAUAUGGAAUUCGUUAUUCGUCAAACUUUGUAAUGAUGGUUAGCCAUUAAAGCCAACCACUUUUACUAAAUGUCAUGUGCUUCCAGAUAUGCUAUGUAAAAAUGCCAUUUAGUGCAUCUUGAUUGACAUACUAUCUACAGAUUCCAGUCGCAGAUGCAUAACUGAAUGCAUAAUUAAGCUAAUGUUUGCAUAAUAGCAUCCUCCAAAGGGCUUUCUACUUGACAAAUUACAACAUUUAGGCCCUUAGGGGGAAAAUUAAUUCUGUGAAAACAUACAUCAAUUAUAUUGUGAUCUUUAUAAAUUAUCCUGGCUUAACUAAUGGUCAGGUGAGAUAAUAUAGUCUUAUUAAACGACUGUUAAACGUCCAGUAUAUAAUAUAAGUAACAAGGAAUAUGAAUAACAGGGAGUAACUAUUGAUAUUGAGUUAAUUAAAAUAAAUACACACACACCCCAACGAGCUUUA